CCCUGCUCUCGUUCCUUUUUAGUUCUCGCUCUCAAGAUCAUGGAGCCUGCUCUCCACCAAGUCAAAGAAGCUGCCAAAAGAAAGGCGAAGUUCCUUCGAAAGGACUCCAACAAAAAGGCUAGGACGGCACUCAAUGAGCCUCCUCCUAGGACUCCUGGUGCAGGCUCCUCCACUGGGGUGACACUCCACCCUAGCACUGCUGAGGAGGCCUUUGCUGAGGCCCAUCUCCACUACAUCAUCGAAUUCAAGGCCUCAGAGGCCUUCAAGGAGAACUUCUGGAUGCCUCCACGAUUGGAUUUGUGUAGGGUUUGAAAACUGUAAGGCCCGCAUCAAGUAUCUGAUGCCGCAGCUGGACCUGCAUCGCCUCCACCCUGAGAACAGUGACGACGAGGUUGGGACGUUCUCUUCGAAUGAAGAUUGAGUUUUCCUUGUCUUGGAUCUUGGUCUUUGUUAUGGCCAAGGAGUUGUGGUUUCGAAGGAGUCCCUGUUUUCCUCUUUUCUCUUUUUUUAUGUUUCUAACUUUCUAUUAUCGUCUUUGUUUUCCCGUCUUCCAUUUGUACGUAUUUUGAAGUAAUGAAAAAAAGAGCGUUUGCAUUUAUGCAUACCUUCUCUGUGCUUUUUGUUUCUCCCUGAUACUCUCUUCUUUUUUAUUAUUAAUUGCCUUCAUAACAUAUUUAGUCGGUUAAUCCCCAAAGAGAAUUCACUUCACCGGGGUGAUAUCAAAAGAUAAAGAAAAUAACAAUGUCUUUAAAAAAGAUUAUAACAUUCAAUGGAUGAAUAAUAACAUCACCGAUAAUACAUCCGCAAGUUAUUCAAGUUCCAGAGCCAAGAUAGAAGUAUCCCAUCAAUUGCUUGAGACGAUAGGUUCCUGGCCGGAUAACUUCGUAGGAGAGGUUGAAAGAAGUCUCCCCCGUAAGAGUUCUUUGGAUGGUUUGGUAGGCCCAUAGGAUAUUGUAUAGCUCAUCAACCCAAGCUCCCUUGGCUUGGCCAAUCCUUGCUUUCAAUCCCUGCAAAAUGGUUCGGUUGGUAACUUCGGCCUCUCCGUUGGCCUGAGGAUGGCCCACCGCAGUGAAGUGCUAGGAAAUGCCACGAUCUUAGCAGAAUUCAGCGAACCUCGUGCCUGUGAAUUGGUAACCGUUGUCUAUAACAAUCACCCAGAGAAUACCGAACCUGCAAAUAAUAGCCUUCCAGACAAAGUCGAUCACUUU
rnacentral:lncRNA from 1 species